AUUGAACGCUGGCGGCAGGCCUAACACAUGCAAGUCGAACGAGUGGCGGACGGGUUAGUAAUGUCUGGGAAACUGCCUGAUGGAGGGGGAUAACUACUGGAAACGGUAGCUAAUACCGCAUACCAUCGGAUGUGCCCAUAUGGGAUUAGCUAGUAGGUGGGGUAACGGCUCACCUAGGCGACGAUCCCUCGCUGGUCUGAGAGGAUGACCAGCAACACUGGAACUGAGACACGGUCCAGACUCCUACGGGAGGCAGCAGUGGGGAAUAUUGCACAAUGGGCGCAAGCCUGAGGCAGCCAUGCCGCGUGUAUGAAGAAGGCCGUAGGGUUGUAAAGUACUUUCAGCGGGGAGGCGUUACCCGCAGAAGAAGCAACGGCGAACUCCGGGCCAGCCGCCGCGGUAAUAC
rnacentral:rRNA from 1 species